rnacentral:rRNA from 1 species
UACAGAGGUGGCAAGCGUUGUUCGGAAUUACUGGGCGUAAAGGGCGAGUAGGCGGCCAACGAAGUCAGACGUGAAAUCCCCCGGCUUAACCUGGGAACUGCGUCUGAUACUGGAUGGCUAGAGUUUGGGAGAGGGAUGCAGAAUUCCAGGUGUAGCGGUGAAAUGCGUAGAUAUCUGGAGGAACACCGGUGGCGAAGGCGGCAUCCUGGACCAACACUGACGCUGAAUCGCGAAAGCUAGGGGAGCAAACGGG